rnacentral:lncRNA from 1 species
CUAUGUGGUGUGUGUGUGUACCCUUCCUCUCCUGGGUUCUGGUCCUGUGUGAUUCUAACGUCAGCAUACGUAACAUCUCGGGUUCAGCAGCUAUGUGUGUGUGUGUGUGUACCUCUCCUUCUCCUGGGUUCUGGGUCCUGUGUGAUUCUAACGUCAGCAUACGAAACAUCUCUGGGUUCAGCAGCUAUGUGUGUGUGUGUGUGUACCUCUCCUUCUCCGGGGUUCUGGGUCCUGUAUGAUUCUAACGUCAGCAUACGUAACAUCUCUGGGUUCAGCAGCUAUGUGUGUGUGUGUGUGUGUGUUACCUCUCCUUCUCCUGGGUUCUGGGUCUGUAUGAUUCACAUCAGCAUACGUAACAUCUCUGGGUUCAGCAGCUAUGUGUGUGUGUGUACUCUCCUUCUCCUGGGUUCUGGGUCCUGUGUGAUUCUAACGUCAGCAUACGUAACAUCUUGGGUUCAGCAGCUGUGUGUGUGUGUGUGUGGUGUGUGUGUGUGUGUACCUCUCCUUCUCCUGGGUUUGGGUCCUGUAUGAUUCUG